CGGUGGCUGGGACUGCAGAGGGUCAGCUCGCCCCAGUCUCAGGCAGCGACUGGAAGAGGAUUACCAGAAUUACCGUUUGGCUUUUGCCUGCCUAAAUUCCACGUGUAUCUUGUCCUAAAGUGCAUCGUGUCUGCCUUCUUUAUAAAAGGCUGCGAGAUUAAAAGACUGUGGGGUUCGUGGGUGAAAACCGCUCUGUGAGACUUAGGCUGUUUGAGUUACUAUUUUUGGGAGCCUAACUCCACACCAGCCAUGGGCUGCCAGCCGGUGAUGCAGAGCAGAGUCAUCCUGUUGCUGAGCUGAACCUGGCUGUAGGCUUAUGUUACUCUGUUGCCUGGAACUGAAGAAACACCCUUCUGGUGUUCUCACAGUGUAGCCUGUGGUGCGGCAGGAGCUACCAGAGCCAUAAGGAUAGCAGGAGGCAAUGGCAGCUCUCUCUAGUCUCCUUUCUCCUCCUGCCCACGGCAGCAGCAACCCUCCAAGAGUGAAGCCCAGCAGGGAAAGCUCUUUCCUAACAGCUGGUCAACGUUUAAGGCAGCCUCUGGACACCUUUUUCUUGGAGGUUUCAGGUGCCAUUUCAGG